CCUACGGGGGGCAGCAGUGAGGAAUAUUGGUCAAUGGGCGCAAGCCUGAACCAGCCAUGCCGCGUGAAGGAAUAAGGUCCUAUGGAUCGUAAACUUCUUUUGAGCGGGAGCAAUAAGGUCUACGUGUAGACCGAUGAGAGUACCGUUCGAAUAAGCAUCGGCUAACUCCGUGCCAGCAGCCGCGGUAAUACGGAGGAUGCAAGCGUUAUCCGGAUUUAUUGGGUUUAAAGGGUGCGUAGGCCGUUGUGCAAGUCAGAGGUGAAAUUGUGGGGCUCAACUCCGCCGCUGCCUUUGAAACUGCAUGACUUGAAUCCUGUUGCCGUGGGAGGAAUGAGUAGUGUAGCGGUGAAAUGCAUAGAUAUUACUCAGAACCCCAAUUGCGAAGGCAUCUCACGAAGCAGGUA
rnacentral:rRNA from 1 species